UCUCCGUUGGUGAACCAGCGGAGGGAUCAUUACCGAGUUUACAACUCCCAAACCCCUGUGAACUAUACCUUUACGUUGCCUCGGCGGCGUCCGCUUCGGCGGCCCGCCAGAGGACCCAAACUCUUGUAUUUGAAUUGAGUAUUCUCUGAGUGAUACAAGCAAUAAAUUAAAACUUUCAACAACGGAUCUCUUGGUUCUGGCAUCGAUGAAGAACGCAGC
rnacentral:misc_RNA from 1 species